GAUGAACGCUGGCGGCGUGCCUAAUACAUGCAAGUCGAGCGAACGGACGAGAAGCUUGCUUUUCUGAUGUUAGCGGCGGACGGGUGAGUAACACGUGGAUAACCUACCUAUAAGACUGGGAUAACUUCGGGAAACCGUAGCUAAUACCGGAUAAUAUUUUGAACCGCAUGGUUCAAAAGUGAGAGACGGUCUUGCUGUCACUUAUAGAUGGAUCCGCGCUGCAUUAGCUAGUUGGUAAGGUAACGGCUUACCAAGGCAACGAUGCAUAGCCGACCUGAGAGGGUGAUCGGCCACACUGGAACUGAGACACGGUCCAGACUCCUACGGGAGGCAGCAGUAGGGAAUCUUCCGCAAUGGGCGAAAGCCUGACGGAGCAACGCCGCGUGAGUGAUGAAGGUCUUCGGAUCGUAAAACUCUGUUAUUAGGGAAGAACAUAUGUGUAAGUAACUGUGCACAUCUUGACGGUACCUAAUCAGAAAGCCACGGCUAACUACGUG
rnacentral:rRNA from 1 species